UGCUGUUUCUAUCUUUUUUUCUAGCAGCAUCCGCUUUUCCAGAACACUAAAAAAUGCUGACACCUCGUGGUGUCUCCUGACAAAAUGCACUGCUAAGCGGUCGAACAGUUCCAUCCUUCUCGUGUGAUCCGGCAUCAGGGGUUGCUCGAGAAUCGGGACGAGAACAACCUGUGCUAUUUCAGGAUCAGUCAGGGGCCUUGGAAGCGCGCAGUUGGACCGCUUGAUGGAAAUCCGCUGCGCCAGACGGGGAACCACUUCUUACGUCGCACAUGGCUAUCUCCAGGAGGGGCCCCUGACUGAUUAUUCCAACGAUAGAUAGAAUAAGACCCAGAAGUUGGAUGAGACUGCCAUGAAU
rnacentral:lncRNA from 1 species